rnacentral:rRNA from 1 species
AUUGAACGCUGGCGGCAGGCCUAACACAUGCAAGUCGAGCGAGCGGCGGACGGGAGUGUAAUGUCUGGAAAUGUGCCUGAUGGAGGGGGAACACUUGUGGACAGGGUAGCAUAUACCGCAUACUAACAUAUGUGCCCAGAUGGGAUUCGCUAGUGGGUGGGGUAAGGGCUCACCUAGGCGACGAUCCCUAGCUGGUCUGAGAGGAUGACCAGCCACACUGGAACUGAGACACGGUCCAGACUCCUACGGGAGGCAGCAGUGGGGAAUAUUGCACAAUGGGCGCAAGCCUGAUGCAGCCAUGCCGCGUGUGUGAAGAAGGCCUUCGGGUUGUAAAGCACUUUCAGCGGGGAGGCGUUACCCGCAGAAGAAGCACCGGCUAACUCCGUGCCAGCAGCCGCGGUAAUAC